AUCAACUUUCGAUGGUAGGAUAGAGGCCUACCAUGGUGGUAACGGGUAACGGGGUGUUAGGGCACGACACCGGAGAGGGAGCCUGAGAAACGGCUACCACAUCCAAGGAUGGCAGCAGGCGCGCAAAUUACCCAAUCCCGACACGGGGAGGUAGUGACAAUAAAUAACAAUACAGGGUUCUUUCGGAUCUUGUAAUUGGAAUGAGUACAAUUUAAAUCUCUUAACGAGGAACAAUUGGAGGGCAAGUCUGGUGCCAGCAGCCGCGGUAAUUCCAGCUCCAAUAGCGUAUAUUAAAGUUGCUGCAGUUAAAAAGCUCGUAGUUGAAUUUCGGGAUCAAGGAAUCGGUCAUGCCUUGGUAUGUACUGGUUUUAUUGGUUCUCACCUUCUAAAGAACCAUAAUGUCAUUCAUUUGAUGUUAUGGGGAAUUAGGACUGUUACCUUGAAAAAAUUAGAGUGUUUAAAGCAGGCUUACGCUUGAAUACAUUAGCAUGGAAUAAUGAAAUAGGACAUCAGAUUCUAUUUUGUUGGUUUCUAGGAUCGAUGUAAUGAUUAAUAGGGAUAGUUGGGGGCAUUAGUAUUCAAUUGUCAGAGGUGAAAUUCUUGGAUUUAUUGAAGACUAACUACUGCGAAAGCAUUUGCCAAGGAUGUUUUCAUUAAUCAAGAACGAAAGUUAGGGGAUCGAAGACGAUCAGAUACCGUCGUAGUCUUAACCAUAAACUAUGCCGACUAGGGAUCGGAUGAUGUUAAUUUUAUAAUGACUCAUUCGGCACCUUACGGGAAACCAAAGUGUUUGGGUUC
rnacentral:rRNA from 1 species